rnacentral:rRNA from 1 species
UACGGGGGGAGCAAGCGUUGUUCGGAUUUACUGGGCGUAAAGGGCGCGUAGGCGGCAAUUCAAGUCAUCUGUGAAAUCUCCGGGCUUAACUCGGAAAGGUCAACUGAUACUGCGGGGCUAGAGUGCGGAAGGGGCAACUGGAAUUCUCGGUGUAGCGGUGAAAUGCGUAGAUAUCGAGAGGAACACCUGCGGCGAAGGCGGGUUGCUGGGCCGACACUGACGCUGAGGCGCGAAAGCCAGGGGAGCGAACGGG